rnacentral:rRNA from 1 species
UGGUACAACGAGUCGCAAGACCGCGAGGUUUAGCAAAUCUCUUAAAGCCGUUCUCAGUUCGGAUUGUAGGCUGCAACUCGCCUACAUGAAGUCGGAAUCGCUAGUAAUCGCGGAUCAGCAUGCCGCGGUGAAUACGUUCCCGGGCCUUGUACACACCGCCCGUCACACCAUGAGAGUUUGUAACACCCAAAGCCGGUGGGGUAACCUUUUGGAGCCAGCCGUCUAAGGUGGGACAGAUGAUUGGGGUGAAGUCGUAACAAGGUAAC